rnacentral:rRNA from 1 species
GCCUGGCCCUAAAUCUUGAUGCUCGAUAUUACCUGAGCAUCCGCCCGAGAACUACGAGCACAAACGCUUAAAACUCUAAGGACUUGGCGGUGUUCCAAACCCACCUAGAGGAGCCUGUUCUGUAAUCGAUGAUCCACGAUAUUACCUGACCAUUCCUUGCACGAAACAGCCUAUAUACCGCCGUCGCCAGCCCACCUUUCCUGACAGCCCAACAGUGGACGCAAUAGCCUAACCCGCUAGCAAGACAGGUCAAGGUAUAGCCCACGGAAUGGAAGCAAUGGGCUACAUUUUCUAGACUAGAACAUACGGAUAAGGGUAUGAAACUACCCUUAGAAGGCGGAUUUAGCAGUAAAGAGAGACAAUUGAGCUCUCUUUAAGCCGGCUCUGGAGCACGU